GGGUGUGGCUCAGUGGCAGAGUGCUUGCCUAGCAUGUGCAAGGCUCAGGGUUCAAUCCACAGCAACACA
rnacentral:tRNA from 1 species